rnacentral:lncRNA from 1 species
GCCCUGCUGAGUUCACUGAGGCAGAAAGGGGAGACAGGACCUCACCUGCCGGAACAGGAGGUCAAGCUGCACAGGAUGGCUGUAGCUGUCCUUGGGGAAGAUCUUCCAGGGGGCGUCCUGAUAGCCGUAGAAGUUGGGAUUGAUGAGGCGGUGCAGCCGCGUCUGCGUGAGUUCCUCAGGGGGCUCCAGCGAUCGCGAGGGCAGAGCUGGAGAGCGCGGGGAUCAGGGAGUCAGGAGAAGGCACCUCGUUUUUUUAUUUAAUUAAUA